rnacentral:rRNA from 1 species
GAGUUUGAUCGUGGCUCAGAUUGAACGCUGGCGGCAGGCCUAACACAUGCAAGUCGAGCGGAUGAAGGGAGCUUGCUCCUGGAUUCAGCGGCGGACGGGUGAGUAAUGCCUAGGAAUCUGCCUGGUAGUGGGGAUAACGUCCGGAAACGGGCGCUAAUACCGCAUACGUCCUGAGGGAGAAAGUGGGGAGUCUUCGGACCUCACGCUAUCAGAUGAGCCUAGGUCGGAUUAGCUAGUUGGUGGGGUAAAGGCCUACCAAGGCGACGAUCCGUAACUGGUUUGAGAGGAUGAUCAGUCACACUGGAACUGAGACACGGUCCAGACUCCUACGGGAGGCAGCAGUGGGGAAUAUUGGACAAUGGGCGAAAGCCUGAUCCAGCCAUGCCGCGUGUGUGAAGAAGGUCUUCGGAUUGUAAAGCACUUUAAGUUGGGAGGAAGGGCAGUAAGUUAAUACCUUUGCUGUUUUGACGUUACCAACAGAAUAAGCACCGGCUAACUUCGUGCCAGCCGCCGC